rnacentral:lncRNA from 1 species
GAAAUGAUGUUAGCACAAGGAGUGGAACUGUCCAUCCAGGUGCUAUUGUAAUGAGAACUGUCAGAGCAUUUUUGUUAAAAGUUGAUCCAUCUUAUUUAUUCAAAUUGGCAUGAUAUUUAGCCAAAGAUUAAACAAUAUUGCCACGAAAAUCAUCUAAUAUGGUUCUCAUGACUUAAUAGGAAUAUCAUUAUUACAUCAAAUUCUAUUGAACAAUAAACAACUGAUUCAUAAAUAAGCUGGCAAUGCACCAUUCAUGGUGGAUCAAGAGAAUAAAGAGAGAAAUUUGUCCGCAAGAAAAUCCAGUAAUACUAAAGGGCACAUUGUUUUAUACUUCAUGGAUCAUCAUUGAGCAAAUCAACAUUAAGAACAAAGCCUGCAGUAUCAGACUAGGUACCAUCUGGGUCCAAAUGAUAACUCCAAUAGAAAAAAUAGUUAUGCAAUAAAAGGGAAAAAAAUCUAGGAAUGCUAAAUCUAUAUAUGCAAUGCUGACAGAUUGUUAGAAAGUUUAGUCAUUGGCUAUAAAGCAAAUUAACGCUUUAAACAGGUCUAGAAGCGUUGCAUCCCAUGCUUCCUGUUCAAAAGACCUGUUCAACUUUCUUGAACUCAAGGCAGUCUGCAUAGGGUGGUCUAUACAAGAAGAUGCACUUUCCAUUGGAGACAAUACAAGAUUUUAGCAUUUCCGUUCAAGAGACAGAAUCAUGUUUAAUGAAAGAUACAUGGCAAAUUACAGUUCUAAGUAGUAGACCACUUCUAAAUGCAAUUACUAUCUAACAAAAAUCACAUGGGGAUAAACCUUACCAAGUAGAGACAAUCCAAAUAGGAGAUAAAAAAUUUCACUGGCCAUCAAAAGAAAGAGUAGAAGAUUAGAGCUAAAGGACAUUACAGAAGUAGCACUGCUCUUUUUUUUGGAUAGAAGCAGUCUACCGAUACCUGGAAGCACAUGCUUUUAUGUAUUCAUUUCAUUCGCAUGAUGGUAAUCACAGAAAACAUUAUGCAUUACAUAUACGCAUUUUCAUACAGUAUGCAUCCAUGAUUUGCAUAUUACUUUCAUGGACACUCAAGGUCCAGUCAAAUAGGGGAUUAAAAGAUUGAUACUUGUCCCUCAAACAAAAUAGAAGAAUAUUAGAACUAGAGGACAUUAAAGUACCAUAAGCAAUUUUCUGAUCGGUACAGGCCUACUGGUAUCUGAAAGUACAUGUUAUUCUGUAUGCAUUACGAGCCCAAAAAUAAAAAAAAAAAGAGUUGCAUCACACACCGUUGUGGUCAGGCACAUCCACGCAGCAUGCAUGCCUCAUGCAUAUUACUACAGAGGACAAUCAUCGAUAUCCAGUCAAAUACUAAAAGCAACAGCCACAAAAUGUAUGCAACACAUUGACAAGGUCUAAUACAGAUAAAAAAAUACAUAUUUGUCGACCAAUCCACAGGAAGUAUGAUUCAUUUAAUCAAGGGCAGAUAAACAGGGAUCAUCUUUUGUCAAAUUCUUUAUCAGAAUUUGAAUGAAAGAAAACUAUAUUUGACCAUAAUAACAUGAAAUUAACAAAUCCAAAAACAUAGGCCUAGCUAAUGAUGUCAAAACACCAAAUGAUUAUGGUUAUUAAUUUGCAGUAAACUUCAUACGAUAAAGUAUUCAGAUGAUUAUUAUUGUAAGUAGCCCAUUUUCAAGGAUGGCCUGUAAAACGCUUACACUAAAGCAUAAUUCUAUAAUGACGGGAAAUGAAGAUAACUUUUUGGAAAGUUUUCAUAUGAAUUUGCAAGAGCUGACAAAAAAAAGUUUGAGUUUGAUAGGUAUUUAAGUUGGGCAGCUAGGUCCUAAAUCUUCCAUCUGCUAUCAUGCAUGUCUUAAAGAUGGUUGCAAUUUCCUAUGUCAAUGGCUAUCACCUACUCUCUUUAGUUGGAUGCCAUCCUAGAAUAAGAUAGAAUUCCUUGCAGGUCAAAUAUCCUUCUGGGUUUUGAGGAUAGCACAGGGCCCUUUCUCACCAGUAUUUGUCUUGCAUUGGAAUGCAGCACAAAUCUUUAAAUGGUUAGCAUCAAACUAACAUUUGGUCUUUACAAUUUUCUAGGUCCUUCAAUGGAAACUUCUCAAAAUAUUGCAACACUCCAUAGAUAAUCUCAUUUUGAUGAGAAAAGGCUUAGAUGAUGAUGACAAAUUCAUGUGUAUAUAGUAGCUAAUAAAACCAUAUAUCAAGCCGAUAAGCAAGUCACUUAGUCUCAACAUGUUCCUCAACCAUCUCAA